rnacentral:rRNA from 1 species
GACGAACGCUGGCGGCGUGCUUAACACAUGCAAGUCGAACGGAAAGGCCCUGCUUGCAGGGUACUCGAGUGGCGAACGGGUGAGUAACACGUGGGUGAUCUGCCCUGCACUUCGGGAUAAGCCUGGGAAACUGGGUCUAAUACCGGAUAGGAGCCAUUUUUAGUGUGAUGGUUGGAAAGUUUUUUCGGUGUAGGAUGAGCUCGCGGCCUAUCAGCUUGUUGGUGGGGUAAUGGCCUACCAAGGCGGCGACGGGUAGCCGGCCUGAGAGGGUGGACGGCCACAUUGGGACUGAGAUACGGCCCAGACUCCUACGGGAGGCAGCAGUGGGGAAUAUUGCACAAUGGGGGCAAGCCUGAUGCAGCGACGCCGCGUGGGGGAUGACGGCCUUCGGGUUGUAAACUCCUUUCGCUAGGGACGAAGCUUUUUGUGACGGUACCUAGAUAAGAAGCACCGGCUAACUACGUG